rnacentral:rRNA from 1 species
UACAGAGGUGGCAAGCGUUGUUCGGAAUUACUGGGCGUAAAGGGCGCGUAGGCGGUCUUGUAAGUCUCGUGUGAAAUCCCUCGGCUUAACUGAGGAACUGCACGGGAUACUGCUUGACUUGAGUUCGGGAGAGGGAAGCGGAAUUCCGGGUGUAGCGGUGAAAUGCGUAGAUAUCAGGAGGAACACCAAUGGCGAAGGCAGCACUCUGGGACGUGACUGACGCUGAGACGCGAAAGCGUGGGGAGCAAACAGG